UACGGAGGGUGCGAGCGUUGUCCGGAAUCACUGGGCGUAAAGGGCGCGAAGGCGGCUCAAGCAGCGUGUGGUGAAAGCUCGGGGCUCAACCCCGAGUCGGCCGUGCGAACUCUUGGGCUGGAGUGCUGUAGAGGCGGGCGGAAUUCCGGGUGUAGCGGUGGAAUGCGUAGAGAUCCGGAAGAACACCGGUGGCGAAGGCGGCCCGCUGGGCAGUGACUGACGCUGAGGCGCGACAGCGUGGGGAGCAAACAGG
rnacentral:rRNA from 1 species